ACAUCGACGAUCUUCAAUCGGAGCUCCUCCUCCGUCUCCUACGAGGCAUCCACAACAUCGACGAUCUUCAAUCGGAGCUCCUCCUCCGUCUCCUACGAGAUCCCCAAUCACUGUCCUGAGAUCUCCAGUCGGACCUCCCCCGCAGCAUCCACAAUGACGACGAGCUCGAUCUCCAGAUCCGCAGCUUCCAGAUCCGCCAAUCACUGUCCUGAGAUCUCCAGUCGGACCUCCCCCGCGGCAUCCACAACGACGAUGAGCUCGAUCUCCAGAUCCGCAGCUUCCAGAUCCGCCAUCCCCAACUCAGGUUAUCCAUGGCUAGAAAAAGUUUUUAUGUUGUGAAGAGAGGACGACGAUGUGGUAUUUUUAAUAAUUGGGAGGAAUGCAAAUCUCAGGUAGAUAAGUUCCCAAAUGCCUCCUACAAAGGGUAUGCAACAUACGAAGAGGCUUUGAUUGAAUGGGAGAAGCACACACUCGCUCAUGAUUCAACAUCCAGCUCGAGGCCUGUCCAAACAUCUGUUUAUGAUCAAGAACAAAGAUAUCCAGUGAGCCAUAAUCUGGAUGUGGACAAGGAAAAACUUGGGACAACUUCUAUUUUCUCUAUCUAUGCUUUUGUAUUAGGUUCAUUGUUUACAAUACUAGUAUUUCUAGUAUGUAUCGUUGCGGUAUUUGUUGGUUUCUUCAUUGCAAAAAACAUGUGAUGUAAUUUAUGGUGUUGUAUUUGUAGUAUGUAUCGUUGCCUUUUCCACUUGUGUGCAUCUGGUGUUCAUGUUUUAACUCUUUAUACAUGGAAAGCAUUAUCUUUCCUGUUA